rnacentral:lncRNA from 1 species
GGACCCCUUAUGGCAGCUAAUAGUUGGAUUUUGUCCUUUUCUCUUGCCAGGAGAAUCCCACAAAGUAGUCAGAGACCCCCCAAAGGGAAGACGUGUCAGGCUGAGGGAUUUCCUAUGACCUGGGAACCUGAGAGUCCAGUUGAUAAAACUUCAGACCCAUCCGAUGGCAGCACCUCCUUCUUCGAGGGUUCCCAGCUCUGAUGGAAUCAUUUUGACAUUUGACCACAGACCAUUGGUAAGUCUGAACCCCCUAAUCUGGAGUAUUCAGAGCCUUCCAGUUAUAAUCUCAACUCUGCUAUUGGGACAAAUGUCUAACCUCUUGUAGUCUGAGUUUUCACCUCUGGAUGAUGGAGAGGAAACGCUCCAUCCUCCUGGGUCAUUGAGAGAAUUAGACAGGAUCUG